CAGCGUAAAAGUUGGAGUUGGAACGUUUGCCUACGUUUGCCGCUAGGGGCGCUGUUCCAACUGAAUACAAAUUUGAGUUA
rnacentral:pre_miRNA from 1 species